AGCUGUUAACUCUGCAGCUCUAUAAUAAUAGGACUACAGUGGGUUGAACAAGUCAGACCAAAUAAAGUGGUACUAUGUUCAG